rnacentral:rRNA from 1 species
GACGAACGCUGGCGGCGUGCCUAAUACAUGCAAGUAGAACGCUGAAGGAGGAGCUUGCUUCUCUGGAUGAGUUGCGAACGGGUGAGUAACGCGUAGGUAACCCGCCUGGUAGCGGGGGAUAACUAUUGGAAACGAUAGCUAAUACCGCAUAAUAGCAGUUGUUGCAUGACAACUGUUUGAAAGGUGCAAUUGCACCACUACCAGAUGGACCUGCGUUGUAUUAGCUAGUUGGUGGGGUAACGGCUCACCAAGGCGACGAUACAUAGCCGACCUGAGAGGGGGAUCGGCCACACUGGGACUGAGACACGGCCCAGACUCCUACGGGAGGCAGCAGUAGGGAAUCUUCGGCAAUGGACGGAAGUCUGACCGAGCAACGCCGCGUGAGUGAAGAAGGUUUUCGGAUCGUAAAGCUCUGUUGUAAGAGAAGAACGAGUGUGAGAGUGGAAAGUUCACACUGUGACGGUAUCUUACCAGAAAGGGACGGCUAACUACGUG